CUGUUUUGUUCUCCUUUGCAAGCGGCAGUGUGAGUCUUCGUUGCUGGGUUACCAGCUCAAACACAAGCCCUACACUGUAGCCAGGGAAGUGCAGCUAGCAAUUAAGUAAAGGAAAUGACUGUGGGUUUGAAACCAACAUACUGUCCCGUUCACUCAGUGAAGCAUCUCUGUUACUCAGACAACUUUAUCACUAAGGAAGUACUUGUGACUCAUCCUCACACAGAGUGACUUACAUACAGUAUCUGUGACAUUCUGCUUCUGUCUUCUACUCUUAAGACUCAGGCAGAAAAAAGCCUACAUUUGUAUGGUAUGGUAUUCAUUGGCUGACCCAUGCAUUAUAAUGCAAUGGGCUCAUCAUGUUCAGAAUAAAAGGUCAGUGGCUCCCGCCGUGCUGUAUGUGAUUGUGUUAAUGGUGUUGCUAGCAGCUUAUUUCCUAACAAGAAAUAAAAUGAGAUAAAUGCUUCUCACCAAUCAUUUACUGAAUGCUAUAUGCUAUUUAAAAUUAUGAUAUGGACACAGAAUUGUUUUAUAGCAUAGCAUAAAAUGCCUCAUUUUCCUCCAUAGAGAUAAAAAUGGAAUUAAGAAACUCUCCUGGGUCAUGUUGAGAGGUGAUGCUUAUGUAAAGAAACUAAGGCAAGAACCUCGCCAGUCUCUUCAAGAUUAACCUACUUGAUUUCACAGAUGUUGCUUAUUGACAAUUGAUACUUUUCUGUGGAAAAGAAGAAGUUAUAGGAAAGAUAGAAGAGUCCAGUGAGAAGCCAAGUCAUAUGGUUGAUACGUGCCUGAGUCUUGCCAUCUGAAGCACUUUCUGGAGAGAGCUACGAAAGCACGCUUAGGGGGUGGGGGAUGCUAGUACAGUGGUUCUCAAAAAAAUGGUACCCCGAGGAGAUGCCAGUAGAGUGGUUCUCAAGAGUGGUAUCCUGUCAGUCAGCAAGCCUGGGUGGGGCAGUAAUCUGUGUUUUAAGAAGAAUAAGAGUGAUUUCCAGAACUUUGAUUGUAGUGAAUCAGUCAGUCGUGCUUGUGGGCAUGUAGCAUAUGAAUCAUGCAGUGGUUGGAGAUUGAGGUUAAGAAAGGAGGAAAUUACUUUUUAAGAAGCAGACUUUAACUGACUGUCAUAGUGCUUGUCUGUAAUCUCGGCACUUGAGAGCUAAAGACAAGAGAUUCAGGAAUUCAAAGACAGUCUUCACGACAUAGUGAAUUAAAGGUCAGCUUGGACUAUAUUAGACAGCACCUUCCCUCUGGUGUGCCUGCAUAUGUGUGAGUGUGUGAGUGUGUGUGUGUGUGUGUGUGUGUGUGUGUGUGUGUGAGUGUGUGAGUGUGCGUGUGUGCGCGCGCGCGCUCUCACGCACACACACAUACAUGUGAGGAUCAGGAUGUCUGUCAGGUAUCUUCCUCAAUGACGUUCCACCUUAGGUUUUGUAGGAGAGAUUCUUUCAUUGACUGAAACCCACUGACUCAGCUAGACAGGCUGAUCAGUAAGCACCAAGCAUCUCCCCGUCUUAGGCGUUUCACCUCCAGUGAACACAGCAAUACCCGAUUUUAGAUAUCUAAAGUCAGGUCUUCAGGCUUGCAGGGCAAACACUGUCAGUGACAGUCCCUCAGCUCCAAAGCCCUAUCUCAAAAAUGUAACAUGUAUUUUAGAAAGCAUUAGUACUUGACUUAAAAAUAGAAAACAUGUAAUAAAAGUCUGGACUUUAAUUUGUAGACUAAUUGCUUUCACCAAUCUCCAAGAAGGGCAAUCAAGAUGAGUGGUUAUUAUAACAUACACUAUGACAUGCUUCUAAAUUUCUAGAGUAAUUGUUCUAUUAAGAGAAUACAUUCCUUUCCAUAUUAAGACAGAAAUUCAACCCAGCUUUAUAAAUUCAUAUGCUAUUCUUAUAUUCCACUGACUUAGCCAACUGCAUCUGUCUCCUGAGACCCCAGCAUCUACAUCUGAAGACCAUAUGCACUGCCAUUCUGCAUGACUUCUCCCAUUGGAAUGUGACAAGGGCUUCAGUGUGUGUGAGACACUGUGAAGUGUUGUGAAUAACAAGAAAUGAAAGCCAUAAGGAUCAAGAAUGAUUCAAAUAGACACUGUUGCUGAGGGAGUAGUUAGAAUUUGACAGAAAAAAAUACCUGCUUAUUCUAAUUUCCCUGUCAUCUAUAUGACUUUUGGGUUUUAUUUGGUCAUGUGUUAUUUAAAAUUUUUAACAUAAUUCUAUGAACUUCUAACUUUCAUUUCUCUCUCAAAAUAACACUAGUGAAAGAUAUGCACGGAAUUAUUGUAAAAAUAAAAUUAGCUAAGUUGA